UUGAACUCAGGACCUCUGGAAGAGCAGUCAGUGCUCUUAACCUCUGAGCCACCUCUCCAGCCCCCAUCUUGGCCUUUUCUUGAUUGACAAUUGAUGCUACUGUGAUGACAAUCAGCUACUGUGGACAGGUAGGUGGUCCUGGGCUGAGUUGAACAGUUAGAGGGAAUCUGACAAGUAGUGUUCCUCCAGUCUCUGCUCUAGAGCCUGCACCUUCUUCCCUGCAUGCUGGACUGUCAGCUGUAAGAUGAACUCGAUGCUUCCCUCCCCACGCUGCCCUGUGUUGCGUUCAUCACAGCAGCAGAGACCUAAGACAAGCUCUCUAAGGCAGCUGAGCCACUACAACAUGCGGUUCCGGAGCUCCCUUCCUUUAUCGCACGUUGUCUGCUUCUCCUCAGGCCAUGACUGAUGUGGCUUAUAAGCCAUUGUAUCACAUGAGUAAGAUGUGGGUCCAGAGGUUGAGAUGUGAAAGCAGGUGGAAGAAGAACUGGCAGGAUGGCUCAGUGGGGUGCUGUCCUGCCGAAUGCAUCGACAUGAGAGCCACACAGGACUUGACUGAUUUUCUGGAAAGAGAUAAGCAGAACCUCGACCUGAUGCUACAGGAACAUUGGACGCUAUCACUGAUUCAUUUCGAGAUCUUUUCUUUUAACAUAUAUUUUAGGCCGUGACCCCUUUAGGACGAAAUGCUUUUGGGCAGCAGAAAAAGCAUUAUCCU